rnacentral:rRNA from 1 species
UAGCCGUAAACGAUACUCGCUAGGUGUCGGCCACGGUGCGACCGUUGUCGGUGCCGUAGGGAAGCUGUGAAGCGAGCCACCUGGGAAGUACGGCCGCAAGGCUGAAACUUAAAGGAAUUGGCGGGGGAGCACCACAACGGGUGGAGCUUGCGGCUUAAUUGGAUUCAACGCCGGAAAUCUUACCGGGACCGACAGCAACAUGAAGGCCAGGCUGAAGACUUUGCCGGAUUAGCUGAGAGGAGGUGCAUGGCGUAGUCGUGU